CCCUGGAUUCAAGCCCAUGACUGACCUCCCCCCCCCCAAAAAAAAUCAUUAGCAAAAUUGUAAGGGCUUUCCUUUAAAUCUUUCAUAACUAUAAAGAACAAAGUUGUCUCCCAAUAAUGUUGCCUCUUAAAAAAAGCUUUGGUUAUAAGAAACCCAUAGCAGUUUGGUUAUAUGUGAACAGCAUGUUGCUUGUUCCAGUUAAUAGCAGUGUAUAUUUGUAGUAAGCAGAAUUCUCACAACACCCCUGUGACCUUGUAUAAUACCUUCCACUUUGGUUGUAAGUGGAACUGUGAAUUAUGAUCCAUGCUAUAUAGUGAAAGGAAGGUUAUCUAGGGAUAACUAGUUGAAUCUCAUGAUUCCAUUAAAAGCAAUUUUCUCAGGCUGGCAAAAGUCAGACAAAGCACCCUUGCUAGUUUAAAAAGGGACUACAGGGAAGGAGUACAGGUGAUGAUGAGCUGACAGCUCUGGCUGACAGCCAUGGAAGUGGGAUCUGCUGCCCUACAAACACAGGAACUGAUUUCCACACUCAGAAGAUGAGUUUGUCUCCAGAAAGUCUACCCAGGUCAGCACCUUGAGUACAGCUGUUGGAGACCUCAAACCUGCCUGGAUUCUGACCCACAGAACUGUAAGAUAAUGGAUAGUGUUUUAAGCUGCUAGAGAUAUAGUGGUUUAUUAUGUAGGAGAAAAUGAAUAUAUUGUUAAAAGGUUGAAUUCCAAGAAGUCUUAUUUGAUUCCCUACAUUGUCCCUCUCCCAUUUGGUUUUUUGAAACAGAGGAUUUGCUCUGGAGCUCAGGCUGGCCUUGAACUCAAUCCUCCCACUUGAGCUUCCCCAGAUUUCUUAGAAAUCAAAUUUGUAACAUCAUAUGUUGUGAUUUUAUGCCUAGUUCAUGGUGUAUGCCUUGCUUAAACACAAGGUCCUUACUGAUAAAUCAUUAUUUCUCGGUUACAGCUAGGAUUCUCUGCAAGAGAUCUGUCUCUACUGGUAGUAAAAGUUGCAGUGUAGAGCUGGGGGACAUGGCUCAAAUAGUAGUAGAGUGCCUAGCAAGCCCAAGGCUCUGAGAUCAGAUCCCUAUAUCACAAAAAAGAAAUAAAGGUCCAACAUUUGGGUAGUGUUCUGUGGAAGAACUGCUAGAAUAAGAUUGUGGGAUGUAUAGGAUAUUUUCCAACAUGAGGAUUUAGACAGGCUGCUUUGGGGGGGCCCAUUAGAAGUAUAGUAAAGAAUGAUAAACAGUGCUAUUUAAAAUCAGACAUUAAGAGGAAAAGUAACUUAUGCCUUUAGGUAGGUAGGUUAUAUGAGGAUUUAGUUUCCUUUAGUACAGAUCAAACCUACUUGUGUCAAUCAAAUUGUUGAUAUUUGAGAAUGUUUUCCAAAGUACCCCUGCUUCUGUGUCAUGCUAAUGAAGUUCAUUUUUGUUUUGUCUUAUCCAUUAAUCUCUGUGCUUACUUCUGCUAUAUUGCCAGACUCUUAAUGAAAGACAAACCAGAAUUAAAGGAAAGAUAAUGAGGCUAAAUACUGUCAAAAGAUCACCAAUUUAUGUAAUAACCUUAUAUCUAUGUUAUAAAAGAUUUUAGAUUCCCAAUCCAAUCUUUUGUAGAGAAGGACUUUUGCCAGGCUAUGUAACAAUGUUUAUGUAAAACUAAAACUUCGAUAGUUGUAAAAUUUUAAAUUAUUGAUCUUAAAAUAUAUGCUAUGAUAACUAGUAUGCUUUAGUUCUUUAAUGCAUGUGAAUAUACAAUACUAAAAGACUACAACAGUAUUAUUAUUAAAGGAAGAAUUUAAAAAAGCAUCCAACUUAAGAUUUUGUUACACAUGCCCCAUGCCAUCACGCCAUCACAGCAUCUCACCUGAAACCUUCCCUUCUCCAGUUGGAAUACUAACUUGAUGAUUGUCAGGGAACAGCAGGGCAGCAGGAGCUGGCUCUCCAGUCUGUGUGAGAUUAAGACUGUUCCAGACAGUAACAGAAUGUUGAAGGGAAGCAAUUGUGCAAAGUAUCAUCCUCACUGUUAACACUGCAGUAAAAAUGUACAGACUAGUGGUGCUAAAACUGUUCUAAAAUAAGGAUUAUUUGGUGUGGGGAAUAUUUUAAUACUUUUGGAUAUUAGGGAGGCUAUUUUGUAUCACUUGUUCCUAGCUGUUUCAUUGUUUUAGUAAUUAGCAAAUUGUCCUGGAAUCAAAGGUUUGGUACUUAGCUUGAUUGGCAUUCCAUUAUGUGAAAUGCUGUUUGCUCAAAUUUGGUGACAAUAACUUUUAAAGAUAUGUACAUUGAGCCUUAAAAAUGGCUGAUACCGACAGUACUGUAAGAUGCACUGCCAGCAGAUUUGAUACUUUUCAGUAUAGACAGUAAUGUUUUCUAAGGAAGAUUUAGAAGUCUUCUAAGCUUAAUGAUUAACUCAUGGGAUAAAAAAACUAAAAAAAGUGUAUUUCAUUCAGAACACUUCCUUUGGAAAGGCUGUCUUUGCAUUUGAGGAUAUUUCUGGAAGCACCCUCUGGAGAAGCUGCCUGAGGACUCUCUCUGCUAGGGUUUGCCAGAUUUGUUUUUCCUUCUUAAAUGUACUGUACAUACUUUUCUUAGGAUGUCUUCAUGGGUUAAACAGUUAACAUCCGUAGUAAUAUUUUAGGUACUUGUUCAACUUUUACAGGAAGAUUACUUUCAAGUUUGCUGCUAUAAUGAAAACGGAAUACCUGGUCCUGUUGACUGUGCCUUCCAUCACUGUUUCUCUGUGCCACAAAUGUUCAUGUGUAUUUGAAUAAAGAAGUUUAUAAAGCCA